rnacentral:lncRNA from 11 species
CGGGCUCCAGGCGCCAAUCAGAAGCCUCUGGGAAGAAGGCAGCAUGGCCAGGAGGGAGACGGAAGGAAGGAAGAAACGGCAGCGCAGCAGCAGCCACGGAAGGUUUUUCAAACCACGGCUAGGGGACAGGGCAACAAAGCCAGAAAAGGCAUUUAGCCUGAUUUCCUGUUUUGGAACGUUCCUGAGUCUCCACCCUCCAAGUAGAGAAGCAGAAAGGCUGUAAUUGCCACCUUCCCUCCCAUGCAAUCCUGCCGCAACAUGCCAGUCAGUUUGCAGCAACUGGAGGAAGCCAAGUACAAAGGAGGAAAGUGGAAGGAAGAAGAAAAGAGAAUAACUGGAGGAUUGGCGGUGCCCAUCCUUGCCAAAAUGGGACAGAUGAGGAAUAUGAUCAAGGGACUCCAGGACAUGCUAGUCAUGCCAAUCAUAAUACUGACUCUGGAUUAAGCUAUGAACGAGAAACUGAAACUGAGCAUUGCUAUAGCAAUUUAAACUGUGAUUUAACUAAUGUUUUUGACUGUUUAUUGUUUAAUCUAUUUUGUUCUAUUUUGCUUUCUCCUUUACUGACUUUUCAUUUAUUUUGCGUAUAUUAUUUAUUGUAUUUAAUUAUGUUGUGAGCCGCCCUGAGUCCUUUCAGGGAGAUGGGGCGAGAUAUAAAUAAAGG